GACGAACGCUGGCGGCGUGCUUAACACAUGCAAGUCGAACGGAAAGGCCCUGCUUUUGUGGGGUGCUCGAGUGGCGAACGGGUGAGUAACACGUGAGUAACCUGCCCUUGACUUUGGGAUAACUUCAGGAAACUGGGGCUAAUACCGGAUAGGAGCUCCUGCUGCAUGGUGGGGGUUGGAAAGUUUCGGCGGUUGGGGAUGGACUCGCGGCUUAUCAGCUUGUUGGUGGGGUAGUGGCUUACCAAGGCUUUGACGGGUAGCCGGCCUGAGAGGGUGACCGGCCACAUUGGGACUGGGAUACGGCCCAGACUCCUACGGGAGGCAGCAGUGGGGAAUAUUGCACAAUGGGCGGAAGCCUGAUGCAGCAACGCCGCGUGCGGGAUGACGGCAUUCGGGUUGUAAACCGCUUUCGCCUGUGACGAAGCGUGAGUGACGGUAAUGGGUAAAGAAGCACCGGCUAACUACGUG
rnacentral:rRNA from 1 species